rnacentral:lncRNA from 1 species
UUGUUAGAUGGGAGAGUAUCAAGAUGCUCCAAAGAAUGUGUAUUCAAAAGGAAAAUAAGAAUCAAUAGUAAAAAUGUAGAAGCAAGAUGAUGAGGCUGGGACAUAGAAGAUCCAAGUUUUAAUUUUCAUUCUAGUAUACUUUGCUGUAUGAUUUCAGGCCUGGCCUCCUAUGAGCCCAGAGAAGCAGCUGUAGUGACUCCAUGGGCUCUGGAUACAGACGUGGCAGAAGAGAAUGGAUAGACACAAAGCAUCCUUAUUGAGAAAACUCCCCCUGAGACAGUCUUCUGUUGCCUUCUUGCUCAAGCAAAAAUUGGAAGGAACAGUGAGGGAUGGAGAACUUGGUUAUUUCUGGAGGCAAAAGGGAAGGAACAAGUAGACAAGUAAAGACUGAAAAAUAAAGAAAAAUGUGUUAAAAUAGAGGGAAAUCCA